rnacentral:rRNA from 1 species
UACAGAGGUCUCGAGCGUUGUUCGGAUUCAUUGGGCGUAAAGGGUGUGUAGGUGGCGCGCUAAGUCGGGUGUGAAAUUUCGGAGCUUAACUCCGAAACUGCAUUCGAUACUGGCGUGCUUGAGGACUGGAGAGGAGACUGGAAUUCAUGGUGUAGCAGUGAAAUGCGUAGAGAUCAUGAGGAAGACCAGUGGCGAAGGCGGGUCUCUGGACAGCUCCUGACACUGAGACACGAAGGCCAGGGGAGCAAACGGG